UGACACGCAAAUUCGUGAAGC
rnacentral:piRNA from 2 species